UGGGGAAUUUUUCGCAAUGGGGGAAACCCUGACGAAGCAACGCCGCGUGGAGGAUGAAGGCCUUCGGGUCGUAAACUCCUGUCGACCGGGACGAACGCUAUUGGGCCCAAUACGCCCGAUAGUCGACUGUACCGGUGGAGGAAGCCACGGCUAACUCUGUGCCAGCAGCCGCGGUAAUACAGAGGUGGCAAGCGUUGUUCGGAAUUACUGGGCGUAAAGGGCGCGUAGGCGGUCCUGUCAGUCCCUUGUGAAAUCCCCCGGCUCAACUGGGGAACUGCAAGGGAUACAGCAGGGCUUGAGUUCGGGAGAGGGAAGCGGAAUUCCGGGUGUAGCGGUGAAAUGCGUAGAUAUCCGGAGGAACACCGGUGGCGAAGGCGGCUUCCUGGACCGAUACUGACGCUGAGGCGCGAAAGCUAGGGGAGCAAACGGGAUUAGAUACCCAUGUAGUCCCUGAGCGGGCUGGCAAGGCGCAU
rnacentral:rRNA from 1 species